rnacentral:rRNA from 1 species
CUCGUGUCGUGAGAUGUUGGGUUAAGUCCCGCAACGAGCGCAACCCUUGUCCUUAGUUGCCACCAUUCAGUUGGGCACUCUAAGGAGACUGCCGGUGUUAAACCGGAGGAAGUGGGGAUGACGUCAAGUCCUCAUGGCCCUUAUAUCCAGGGCUACACACGUGCUACAAUGGCCGGUACAAAGAGUUGCGAUACCGCGAGGUGGAGCUAAUCUCAUAAAGCCGGUCUCAGUUCGGAUUGGAGUCUGCAACUCGACUCCAUGAAGUUGGAAUCGCUAGUAAUCGCGGAUCAGCAUGCCGCGGUGAAUACGUUCCCGGGCCUU